rnacentral:lncRNA from 1 species
UUCCUUGGGCCUCGUCGGGUGUGGAAUUGAAGGAUGGACAAACGGUCUGUCGCUGCUUGUUUUAUGGUGAUGCUUGUGUUGUUAGGAAGCAGUAUGACUGCAGGUAUGUUCUGGCUUUUGCUCUUCUGAAAUAGGUUUCUUAUGGGAUUACUAGAAGUUUUCUUAAAUAUGAUGUUGAUGCACAUUGUUUCUAUGCCGUGGAGGAAUAAUACAUGUUACCAAUUAUGCAAUAGUUUUAGCAUGGUAUGUUGUUACACUUGAUGUCCCACUAUUAUGCUCUAACCCUUAAUAUAUUUGAGAUGCACAGAGAACUGUGAGAUUAAGCGCGACAGGAUGACAUUUUGUAUAAAGUCUGAAUGUCUGUAUCAUUGCCAACAUCGUUGGUAUUAUAAAGUCACACAGUAUUGGUGUGAUGGUCUGUUCUUCGGCUUCUGCAACUGCAAGAUUUGCAUCGUCGUAUAGAACUUCAAUGGAUAUUUACUAUAUCAAGUGCACUUGAAGCUUUCAUUUAGCAAUUGAGCACUUUGUAUCCUGCAGUAAUAGAGUUAUGUUUGGAAGUGAUAAUAAUAUGUCUAGUCUCAUAAAAAUCUGCUUAAAGGCAAACUUUGUAGAGUUAUUAAUAAAUAUAGCGAUUGCUAAGUGCACUUGAAGCUUUCAUUUAUACUAGG